CUUGAGACUGGCGCAGAGGAGCCAAUUCUAGAUCUUUAUCAGAGAACACACCAAAGGUGAUUGGGGGAGUGGUGCCAGGGUGCACAGGGCAUACAUGAGAAGAUGCUCGAGCUGAGGGAUGCACCCAUUCCAAAGGGGAGUUAGCUAUUGACGGAUUAUGAGAUCUCUACAUAGGUGCUUGGGGAACGAGCGGGGGGCUGGGUGAGAGGUCUUGGGAGUGGAUACGUCACCCCAACAACAUCAUCUUCUACGAGUGCGGCGUCUCAUGCUAAGUUUGAACAAGCGCGUCGAGACGCUAAGUAUCAAGUGGAUCAGAUGGUUCACCGUAUACAGAAGAUAGAAAUGGAGAAUCAGCAAUUGAAAGAUACGGUGUCCAGCUAUGACCUAGAGAACCAACAACUAAAAGAGAAGGUGUUUAACUUUGAAGCCAAGCUGGAGUUCCUUAUGAACAGGCAAGCACAGCUUAAACAAGUGAUGCACCAAUCUCGUCCAGAUGAUGUAGGUGGCUCCUCCUCUCAUUAGAAGGUUGCUAUAUGUAUAAGAUGGCCGCUCAUCGCCCUGCAUUUAAAACUUUUGUAUGUUCUCUUGAUUGCUUUAUUUUUUAGUUAACUCCUUCGAUUUGAAACUAUAUAAUUCGAGUGUUGUCCUGUGUUCCGAGAAUUUUCUUAAUGACAUGCUACAAUCGAAUGCAGCUUUUAAGUUUUUUUUUUUUUUUUGUAUUUUUUUAUCAAAACAGAUGGAAUUUCUAUAUUUGAAUUUAAAUUUGUAUAAUGUAUUUGAAUAUGAAUUUUGGAUUAUUUAUGAAUUUGAAUAAUAUAUGAAUUUUU